UUUACAGUUAUAGUUUAUUUAAUUAAUGUGAUUGGAUGUCAUUGACGAAGGACUUCAUGUUCAACUUAUGAUAAUUUAAGCCUGGAAUAGCAGACAAAUUCGAUGCGGAACCACAUUUGCAAGCCUAUGGGGCAGGAUAUGCUGGAGGAUAUAUAACAUCAGAGAGAACCGAGCAAACACGGAACAACACUUUAAAGGUUACUGCGACUCGACUCUGUUGAGAAAGUCGUGUGUAAAAAUCUAUGAUUUCGAGCAUGAUAAUAUCCAGUGGAUGUCAGAAAUGAUCAAGAAGAAUCCAGAUGAUGAGUUCUGGGAUGAAGUUAACUGCAAGCCUUCUGCAAGUCGAAGGAUUUCAAGUUGUCGACAUUGACAGCCUGAUUGAAUUGAUGAGAUACAAUGAUUUCAAAAUCGAUCCGAUAUCGAGAUGUAAUUGCACUACGCCCUACAGCGCGAAAAAUUCAAUGGCAGCCCGUUGUGAUUUCGAUCCAGCACAUGUUUCCGUUCGGAGCAUUGAAGCAACAAGACCACGCUGCGACGGACGUAAAAGCAACUUCGUAUUCGUUACAAAAAGUUCUUGGCGUAAUGGCCGAAUCUGGCCCAAUCCACGGUCAACAACCAGUUUUGGAGUUUUCAAUAUCGCCUUACGCGAAUGUGUCUCAUCUUGGAAUGUUUGAUAGGUUUGAUUUUAACCCUGUACUGUUUGUAUGGGAUAAAUAAUGAGUUUAAUAGCGGCCCUGUGUUGUUUUUAUGGGAUAAAAAAAAUCAACUCUAUGCUGAAAUAUUAAACUUUUAUUCCAUUUUAUCAUUUUUAAUCAUAAUCUCUAAACUUUACUCACACAAAUGUAUCAUCUGGGAAUGCCGCCAACCCCAGAUAAAUUUGAUUUUAGACCUGUACUUUUUGUAUGGGAUAAAUAAUAAGUUUACUUAAACUUGUUUUGUUUUUAUGUGAUAAAUAAAGUCAAUUCUAUGCUGAAACUUAAGAUUUUAAACUAUUUCACUCAUCUAAUCUAUUCAUUACUGGUAUAUAAUACUGAAUUAUCGUUUAAUAUUGAACUGUGUUUUUGCUGUGAGUGAGUUUCUGAUAUUUCUCUGAUAUGUAGCAAAGCCACUAUAAAUCUUAGACUAUUUUAUUGAUUUUUUGUUGCCAUAUGUAAUACAUGGUGUCCUUAAAGUCACUUUAUAAUUCCAAUAUGGUUAUGAAGUCAGUUAUCAAUAUAUCUUAACCCGGUUUGUUGUUGUUAUUUAAUCAGUAAUUGUUCAAGUAUUUUCAUUUAUUACAUUUGUGAAGGCCAACGCAAUAUCCGAUAUCUAUGAAUUUCAAGAAAAUGUAGGACUUUAUGGACACCUUAUCUAUCUUGUUUUUAUUGGUGGCUCCCAUUGUCCCAUAUCACUUAAUUUUUUGCGUCAUGAUCUGUUUUGUGCCUUUCACUGAACGAAUCCGGGGGUUUUCAACCACUGAUGAGUACUGAUGUUUUGGAAAGACUCGAAUAUUUCCGUUUCAGCCUGGGCAGACUCAUGUUUGGGGUAGAUUUGACCUGCAUUGGGGGGAAAUUUCCAAAUUUGGGGCGAAAUUUUUUAAAAUUUGCUGCAAGAAAAUAAGACUGAAGAACCUCUAAACCAAUUUCCUAUUUUAUCAAGCUACUCAGAAACUAAUCAGUUUUCGGAGAUUAUUAUCUCAAUGAUUUCGUUUUAAUCCAUUACCCAUACAAUACUCACAGGACCACGUCUGAGAACCACUAAUAUUUGCCUUCUUUAAGACUUAAUGAACCCCCGGUUUAUACCAUUAUGGAAGAAAGUAAAAAAUUAAGUUUUUUUCACAGCCUCGAGUCUAUAUUUUUCCUAACCGGGAGUCAAUUGUAAAUUGGCCCUCAUUCACAGCCCCGCUUUUAACUCCACUCUUUAUCUGUUAUUAUAGAAUUACUUUCGUAUAACAUCCAUUUUUAGACAUUGUGCUAUAUUCUAUUUUUAAAAUAAAAUUUUGUAACAGUAUUUCUUUAUGAUUCAUUUUUAAUGUGAAGAUUUAUUGCAAUAGAUUCAUCAAAUGCAAAAUACAA